rnacentral:rRNA from 1 species
CAGUCGCCGCGGUAAUACAGAGGGUGCAAGCGUUAAUCGGAUUUACUGGGCGUAAAGCGUGCGUAGGUGGCUGUUUAAGUCGGAUGUGAAAGCCCUGGGCUUAACCUGGGAACUGCAUUCGUUACUGGAUAGCUAGAGAUCGGUAGAGGGCAGCGGAAUUCCGGGUGUAGCGGUGAAAUGCGUAGAUAUCCGGAGGAACACCGAUGGCGAAGGCAACUGCCUGGGCCUGAUCUGACACUGAGGCACGAAAGCGUGGGUAGCAAACAGGAUUAGAGACCCCCGUAGUCCCUGUCUCUUAUAC